rnacentral:rRNA from 1 species
UACGUAGGGUCCGAGCGUUGUCCGGAAUUACUGGGCGUAACGAGCUCGUAGGUGGUUUGUCGCGUUGUUCGUGAAAACUCACAGCUUAACUGUGGGCGUGCGGGCGAUACGGGCAGACUGGAGUACUGCAGGGGAGACUGGAAUUCCUGGUGUAGCGGUGGAAUGCGCAGAUAUCAGGAGGAACACCGGUGGCGAAGGCGGGUCUCUGGGCAGUAACUGACGCUGAGGAGCGAAAGCGUGGGGAGCGAACAGG